GAUGAACGCUGGCGGCGUGCUUAACACAUGCAAGUCGAACGAUGAAGCCCAGCUUGCUGGGUGGAUUAGUGGCGAACGGGUGAGUAACACGUGAGUAACCUGCCCUUAACUCUGGGAUAAGCCUGGGAAACUGGGUCUAAUACCGGAUAGGAGCGUCCACCGCAUGGUGGGUGUUGGAAAGAUUUAUCGGUUUUGGAUGGACUCGCGGCCUAUCAGCUUGUUGGUGAGGUAAUGGCUCACCAAGGCGACGACGGGUAGCCGGCCUGAGAGGGUGACCGGCCACACUGGGAAUGAGAAACGGCCCAGACUCCUACGGGAGGCAGCAGUGGGGAAUAUUGCACAAUGGGCGCAAGCCUGAUGCAGCGACGCCGCGUGAGGGAUGACGGCCUUCGGGUUGUAAACCUCUUUCAGUAGGGAAGAAGCGAAAGUGACGGUACCUGCAGAAGAAGCACCGGCUAACUACGUG
rnacentral:rRNA from 1 species